UACGAAGGGGGCUAGCGUUGCUCGGAAUCACUGGGCGUAAAGCGCACGUAGGCGGACUCUUAAGUCGGUGGUGAAAUCCUGGAGCUCAACUCCAGAACUGCCUUCGAUACUGAGAGUCUCGAGUCCGGGAGAGGUGAGUGGAACUGCGAGUGUAGAGGUGAAAUUCGUAGAUAUUCGCAAGAACACCAGUGGCGAGGGCGGCUCACUGGCCCGGUACUGACGCUGAGGUGCGAAAGCGUGGGGAGCAAACAGG
rnacentral:rRNA from 1 species